AGUGAACGCUGGCGGUAGGCCUAACACAUGCAAGUCGAACGGCAGCACAGUAAGAGCUUGCUCUUACGGGUGGCGAGUGGCGGACGGGUGAGGAAUACAUCGGAAUCUACUUUUUCGUGGGGGAUAACGUAGGGAAACUUACGCUAAUACCGCAUACGACCUACGGGUGAAAGCAGGGGAUCUUCGGACCUUGCGCGAUUGAAUGAGCCGAUGUCGGAUUAGCUAGUUGGCGGGGUAAAGGCCCACCAAGGCGACGAUCCGUAGCUGGUCUGAGAGGAUGAUCCGCCACCCUGGACAUGGGAACCGGGCCCGCCUCCUACGGGGGGCAGGAGGGGGGAAUAUUGGAAAAGGGGCGAAAGCCUGACCCCGCCAUUCCGCGUGGGUGAAGAAGGCCUUCGGGUUGUAAAGCCCUUUUUUUGGGAAAGAAAAGAAGCAGGUUAAUCCCCCGCUGUUCUGACGGUACCCAAAGAAUAAGCCCCGGCUAACUUCGU
rnacentral:rRNA from 1 species